rnacentral:rRNA from 1 species
UACGUAGGGCGCAAGCGUUAUCCGGAAUUAUUGGGCGUAAAGGGCUCGUAGGCGGUCCGUCACGUCGGGAGUGAAAACUCGGGGCUCAACCCCGAGCCUGCUUUCGAUACGGGCGAACUAGAGGUAGGUAGGGGAGAACGGAAUUCCUGGUGUAGCGGUGGAAUGCGCAGAUAUCAGGAGGAACACCGGUGGCGAAGGCGGUUCUCUGGGCCUUACCUGACGCUGAGGAGCGAAAGCGUGGGGAGCGAACAGG